UACGAAGGGGGCUAGCGUUGCUCGGAAUCACUGGGCGUAAAGGGUGCGUAGGCGGGUUAUUAAGUCAGAGGUGAAAUCCUGGAGCUCAACUCCAGAACUGCCUUUGAUACUGAUAGUCUUGAGUAUGGGAGAGGUGAGUGGAACUGCGAGUGUAGAGGUGAAAUUCGUAGAUAUUCGCAAGAACACCAGUGGCGAAGGCGGCUCACUGGCCCAUUACUGACGCUGAGGCACGAAAGCGUGGGGAGCAAACAGG
rnacentral:rRNA from 1 species